rnacentral:rRNA from 1 species
AUUGAACGCUGGCGGCGGGCUUAAUACAUGCAAGUCGAGGGGUGGUAGCAAUACUACACCGGCGCACGGGUGCGUAACGCGUAUGCAAUCUACCUUUAUCUGGGGGAUAGCCCGGGGAAACCCGGAUUAAUACCGCAUAACAAAUUUCUUGGCAUCAAGAGAUUUUAAAAGAUUUAUCGGAUAGAGAUGAGCAUGCGUAAGAUUAGAUAGUUGGCGAGGUAACGGCUCACCAAGUCUACGAUCUUUAGGGGCUCUGAGAGGAGAAUCCCCCACACUGGCACUAAGAUACAGGCCAGACUCCGCCGGGAGGCAGCCGUAGGGAAUAUUGGGCAAUGGGCGCAAGCCUGACCCAGCCACGCCCCGUGCAGGAAGAAGGCCCUCUUGGUUGUAAACUGCUUUUGACUGGGUAGAAAAGACUCCUUGCGAGGAGAGUUGACGGUACCAGCAGAAUAAGCCACGGCUAACUACGUGCCAGCCGCCGCGGUAAGAC